AUACGGAGGGAGCAAGCGUUAUUCGGAAUCACUGGGCGUAAAGGACGCGUAGGCGGGUUUGUAAGUCAGGUGUGAACUCCUACAGCUCAACUGUAGAACUGCACUUGAAACUACAGACCUAGAGUAUGGAAGGGGCAGAUGGAAUUAGUGGUGUAGGGGUAAAAUCCGUAGAUAUCACUAGGAAUACCGAAAGCGAAGGCGAUCUGCUGGGACAUUACUGACGCUGAGGCGUGAAAGCGUGGGGAGCAAACAGGAUUAGAUACCCGGGUAGUCC
rnacentral:rRNA from 1 species